rnacentral:rRNA from 1 species
GGGCAGGUUGACUGGGGCGGGCGCCUCCUAAAAGGUAACGGAGGCGCCCAAAGGUUCCCUCAGCAUGGUUGGAACUCAUUCGCAGAGGGUAAAGGCACAAGGGAGCUUGACUGCGAGACCUACAAGUCGAGCAGGGACGAAAGGCGGGCUUAGUGAUCCGGGGGGUCCGCAUGGAAGGGCCAUCGCUCAACGGAUAAAAGCUACCCCGGGGAUAACCGGCUUAUCUCCCCCAAGAGUCAACAUCGACGGGGAGGUUUGGCCCCUCGAUGUCGGCUCAUCGCAUCCUGGGGCUGU